GAUGAACGCUGGCGGCGUGCUUAACACAUGCAAGUCGAACGGUGAAGCGCCUUCCUUUUUGGUGGGUGUGGAUGAGUGGCGAACGGGUGAGUAACACGAGAGUAACCUGCCCCCUUCUUCUGGCUAACCGCAUGAAAGUGUGGCUACUACGGGAUAUACUGGGUCUGUCGCUUGAUGGGUCUGGGAAAGAUAUUGUUUCGGUGGGGGAUGGGCUUGCGGCUUAUCCGAUUGUUGGUGGGGUGAUGGUCUACCAAGGCGGUGACGAGUAGCCGGCCUGAGAGGGGGGACGGUCACAGUGGGACAGAGACACGGGCCAGACUGCUACGGGAGGCAGGAGUGGGGAAUAUUGCACAAUGGGCGUAGGGCUGAUGCAGCGACGCCGCGUGAGCGAUGGAGGCCUUCGGGUUGUGAACCUCUUUCGCCAGGGAAGCAGGCCUGCCUCGUUUGUGGGUGGGUUGACGGUAGCUGGAUAAGAAGCGCCGGCUAACUACGUG
rnacentral:rRNA from 1 species